CCUACGGGAGGCAGCAGUGAGGAAUAUUGGUCAAUGGGCUUACGCCUGAACCAGCCAAGUCGCGUGAGGGAAGACUGCCCUAUGGGUUGUAAACCUCUUUUGUCAGGGAGCAAUUGGCGCUACGUGUAGCGUUAUCGAGAGUACCUGAAGAAAAAGCAUCGGCUAACUCCGUGCCAGCAGCCGCGGUAAUACGGAGGAUGCGAGCGUUAUCCGGAUUUAUUGGGUUUAAAGGGUGCGUAGGCGGAAUGCCAAGUCAGCGGUAAAAUCGGGGGGCUCAACCUCGCUCCGCCGUUGAAACUGGCUUUCUGGAGUGGGCGAGAAGUAUGCGGAAUGCGUGGGGUAGCGGAGAAAGGCAUAGAAACCACGAAGAACCCGGAGUGCGAGGGCAGCAUACCGGCGCCCAACUGACGCGGAAGCACGAAGGCGUGGGUAUCGAACAGGAUUAGAUACCCGAGUAGUC
rnacentral:rRNA from 1 species